UUGCCACAUCAGCGUCCAGGGGAGGUAAUGGCUCUCAAAAGGCAAGUUGAGGGGAGUAAGUAAGACUACAAGUUUAAGGCUGUAACUAAUAAUCCGUGUCAAGUUUAGGGGGGUGUUAAGGUAUUCUGCCUUCUUUUUAUUCUCUUUUCAGUUUGACAGAUAUUGGAUUCUUUUGCGCUUUCAGCUUUUACUUGAAAUUGGGAGUCAUCUAUCAGCUGGUUUUUCUUAUGAUUUUCUAUAGCACUUGAACAUGAAAUGCGAUUUCUCUAUGUUUAUUCACUUUCAAGGGGGAAAGAAAGCUGGUCAAUUUCAGUCGCUAGCUACUACAAGUUAAUUGCUUGCAUCCAAGAUGGAAGAUAUGGAUGCUCCUUUUACUGUUUAUUUGCAGGUUACUUAAAUUUAUCAACAGGUGAUAUGCUUUCUCUAAUUGUAAUAGUUGAAUCUAUAUGAUAAAGAUGCUUGUGUUUUAGCUUUAAAUGGGUGUAUUUUGAUGUUAUAGUGACAUUAGUACCUUGCUCUUC